CCGACCGCGACCCAGGUCAGGCGGGACUAC
rnacentral:rRNA from 1 species